rnacentral:ncRNA from 14 species
GGGCUAUAGCUCAGCUGGGAGAGCGCCUGCCUUGCACGCAGGAGGUCAUCGGUUCGACUCCGAUAUUCUCC